rnacentral:rRNA from 1 species
GUGGGGAAUUUUGGACAAUGGGCGCAAGCCUGAUCCAGCAAUGCCGCGUGCAGGAAGAAGGCCUUCGGGUUGUAAACUGCUUUUGUACGGAACGAAACGGUCCGGGUUAAUACCCUGGGCUAAUGACGGUACCGUAAGAAUAAGCACCGGCUAACUACGUGCCAGCAGCCGCGGUAAUACGUAGGGUGCAAGCGUUAAUCGGAAUUACUGGGCGUAAAGCGUGCGCAGGCGGUUUUGUAAGACAGGCGUGAAAUCCCCGGGCUCAACCUGGGAAUUGCGCUUGGGACGGCAAGGCUGGAGUGCGGCAGAGGGGGAUGGAAUUCCGCGUGUAGCAGUGAAAUGCGUAGAUAUGCGGAGGAACACCGAUGGCGAAGGCAAUCCCCUGGGCCUGCACUGACGCUCAUGCACGAAAGCGUGGGGAGCAAACAGGAUUAGAAACCCUGGUAGUCC